ACAUUGCACCCUACUUUACUAUUUUACUGUCUAACACCAGACAAUCCAGUUAACCCAUUGAGUUGCAUUGUGCCCUGAUGCACCCUACUUUAUUAUUUUACUCUGUCUAACGCCAGAUUAUUUUACUCUGUCUAAUGCCAGAUGAUUUUACUUGUCAAGGGGAGAGCACACUUUAACAGGGAAAGGAUUAAUUGGGAAUACUUUCUCUUUUAAUGGAAACUCUUUAUUAAUGCAAUGCAAUUAUUCAUAUUUAGUAUUAAUUUUCAUGACAACAUGUGGGGUCAACUAUAAAGAAAACAGUUAUUGCCUAUUUUGGAGUGAGUUAUUAGACAUUAUUUGAACACAUAUUUAUUUAGUUUUUGAAUAAUUUAAGUUCUUAUAAUGUAUAUAAUGUGAAAUAAAUAAUUCAAUUGGCAACUGUGCUGAAGAUUCUGAUGCCUACUUGAUUACAUUUCACUCUAGCCAAUCUAAUUUAUCUGCAGGAAAUGAUCAGACAAGCCCACCACUAAUCCAAGCAGUCGACGAUACCGACUACAAAACAAAUGAAAUUGAACAAAACUUAGUCUGCAUGAAUGCAUUAACUUAUGUGUCAAGCUAUUUAUGAAGGAAGUGCCUUAUCCAACAUUAUGCCAAUUAUGCCAUCAUAAUUUUGUGACAAAGGAUGUCAAUGACAGUCUGCUAUUCUGCAUG